UCCAGUAAUGGGAACCCACCAGAGAGAUGUCCCCGUCCUCUGUAUUCCCAGGAUUCCACACAGGAAGGUCACAUGGUCCCUCUCUGUUACAAGGGUGAAGAUCUGAUAGAUAUAAAAGUUGAGGUUAAAUCAGAAGAAGAAGAUCCGCAAUAUACGGAAGAGUAUGCAAUGAGGAGGAUGUUUAUAGAGGAGGACACUACAGAGAUCAGCACAGUAGAUGGAUGGGAGAUGAGGAAAACCUCAGAGGAUUGU